rnacentral:rRNA from 1 species
CCAAUAGCGUAUAUUAAAGUUGUUGCAGUUAAAAAGCUCGUAGUUGAAUUUCGGGAUUGACACAUCGGUCGUGCCUUAAGGGGUAUGAACUGGUGUAGUCAAUUUCUCACCUUCUGGAGAACCGCGAUGCCCUUAAUUGGGUGUCACGGGGAACCAGGACCUUUACUUUGAAAAAAUUAGAGUGUUUAAAGCAGGCAUUUUGCUUGAAUACAUUAGCAUGGAAUAAUAAAAUAGGACGGCAUGAUUCUAUUUUGUUGGUUUCUAGGAUCAACGUAAUGAUUAAUAGGGAUAGUUGGGGGCAUUACUAUUCAAUUGUAAGAGGCGAAAUUCUUGUAUUUAUUGAAGAACAACUACUGCGAAAGCAUUUGCCAAGGAUGUUUUCAUUAAUCAAGAACGAAAGUUAGGGGAUCGAAGACGAUCAGAUACCGUCGUAGUCUUAACCAUAAACUAUGCCGACUAGGAAUCAGACGCUGUUAAUUUUUUAAUGACUCGUUUGGCACCUUACG